AAUCAACGCUGGCGGCGUGCCUAACACAUGCAAGUCGAACGAGAAAGUGGAGCAAUCCAUGAGUAAAGUGGCGCACGGGUGAGUAACACGUGACUAACCUACCCUUGAGUGGGGGAUAACCUAGGGAAACCUGGGCUAAUACCGCAUAAUACCUACGGGUCAAAGGAGCAAUUCGCUUUAGGAGGGGGUCGCGGCAGAUUAGUUAGUUGGCGGGGUAAUGGCCCACCAAGACGAUGAUCNGUAUCCGGCCUGAGAGGGCGCACGGACACACUGGAACUGAAACACGGUCCAGACUCCUACGGGAGGCAGCAGUGGGGAAUUUUGCGCAAUGGGGGAAACCCUGACGCAGCAACGCCGCGUGGAGGAUGAAGACCCUUGGGUCGUAAACUCCUUUCGAUCGGGACGAUAAUGACGGUACCGGAAGAAGAAGCCCCGGCUAACUUCGUGCCAGCAGCCGCCGUAAU
rnacentral:rRNA from 1 species